AUGUAGAUGCCUACAACAUAGUGUUAAUGCACUGGAUCCCAUUAGAAAUCCACAGUUAAGCACGCUCAGGCUAGAGUACUGAUGGGAUGGGUGACCGCCCGUGAAGUCUUAGUGUUUUACAUG
rfam:Picea glauca, whole genome shotgun sequence.